rnacentral:rRNA from 1 species
GAUGAACGCUGGCGGCGUGCCUAAUACAUGCAAGUCGAGCGAACGGACGAGAAGCUUGCUUUUCUGAUGUUAGCGGCGGACGGGUGAGUAACACGUGGAUAACCUACCUAUAAGACUGGGAUAACUUCGGGAAACCGGAGCUAAUACCGGAUAAUAUUUUGAACCGCAUGGUUCAAAAGUGAAAGACGGUCUUGCUGUCACUUAUAGAUGGAUCCGCGCUGCAUUAGCUAGUUGGUAAGGUAACGGCUUACCAAGGCAACGAUGCAUAGCCGACCUGAGGGGGUGAUCGGCCACACUGGAACUGAGACACGGUCCAGACGCCUACGGGAGGCAGCAGUAGGGAAUCUUCCGCAAUGGGCGAAAGCCUGACGGAGCAACGCCGCGUGAGUGAUGAAGGUCUUCGGAUCGUAAAACUCUGUUAUUAGGGAAGAACAUAUGUGUAAGUAACUGUGCACAUCUGGACGGUACCUAAUCAGAAAGCCACGGCUAACUACGG